rnacentral:rRNA from 1 species
UACGGAGGAUGCGAGCGUUAUCCGGAUUUAUUGGGUUUAAAGGGUGCGUAGGCGGCGAGUUAAGUCAGCGGUAAAAGCCCGGGGCUCAACCCCGGCGAGCCGUUGAAACUGUCGGACUAGAGACGGCGAGAAGUACGCGGAAUGCGCGGUGUAGCGGUGAAAUGCAUAGAUAUCGCGCAGAACUCCGAUUGCGAAGGCAGCAUGCCGGCUCCACACUGACGCUGAGGCACGAAAGCGUGGGUAUCGAACAGG